rnacentral:rRNA from 1 species
UGCCAGCCGCCGCGGUAAUACGAAGGGUGCUAGCGUUGUUCGGAAUUACUGGGCGUAAAGAGCAUGUAGGCGGAUGAAUUAGUCAGAGGUGAAAUCCCAGGGCUUAACCCUGGAACUGCUUUUGAAACUGUUUCGCUAGAAUAUUGGAGAGGUCAGGAGAAUUCCUAGUGUAGAGGUGAAAUUCGUAGAUAUUAGGAGGAAUACCAGUGGCGUAGGCGCCUGACUGGACAAUUAUUGACGCUGAGGAGCGAAAGCAUGGGUAGCAAACGGAUUAGAUA